GAUGGUGGAGAAGACCAGGUUGUGGUUGGCACUUUUGACCUUAAUCAGCCUUCCAGAUGAAAUUGCAGGGACAAAGCCAGAGUUCCAAUGGAAACUUUGUGCUUGAGUUGGACUUUGAGCCUUUUAACACAUCCUUCCCCCGCCCAACACUGAAAAAGUCAAUUGGGAAUGGCGUUGAGUUCCUUAACGGCCACCUUUCCGCUAAGCUUUUCCAUGGCAAGGAGAGUAUGCAACCAUUGCUGGAGUUCGUAAGGCUUCAUAGUUACAAUGAAAAGGUAUACUCUGUGCACUUCUGGCAGUAAAUUCACAAAUUUUUUAACAAUAAAAGAUGAUUAGCACAGUUGGUAAAGCAAUGAAAUGACCUUGUAUCCUAAAAGACGCGAGUUUGAUUCCCUUUGCUGAAGUGAUGAUCACUUAGGUGGGGCAAUGAUCUGUAACUACCUGGGGAGACAUUCUUUGGAAGGAUCCCUAUGGUCUUCAAUGUGGUGAUCCUUUCUCCCCAUGGUUACUUUGCUCAAGACAAUGUCUUGGGAUACCCUAAUACUGGUGGCCAGGUUGUUUACAUCUUGGAUCAAGUUCGUGCAUUGGAGAAUGAGAUGCUCAACCGCAUCAAGAAACAAGGCUUGGACAUCACCCCUCGCAUUCUCAUUGUAUCUCCCCUAUGCCAGAUGUAAAUAUUUAGCUGACUUGUGUAUAGUGAAUCGAUUGUCACAAACUCGAGCCUGUGAUUGCUUUUAAAAUCGAGUUUCAUCCCCUGUGAUUUUCACUAAUAUUUAGCCUGUCAUUGGGAUUGGUUUAUAGCCUAACUUAAUGUAACAUAGUUAUAGGCUUGUAGUAUUUUUUGUUAUUUCGAUUUGUAACAUGAUUUAUUUCUUUUCAAGAGAAAUUUGUGUAUCAAUAUUUUGAGUUUAAUGAAAUAUCUAUUUUGUAA